rnacentral:rRNA from 1 species
UACGAAGGGGGCGAGCGUUGUUCGGAAUACUGGGCGUAAAGCGUGCGCAGGCGGUGAUGUAAGACAGUUGUGAAAUCCCCGGGCUCAACCUGGGAACUGCAUCUGUGACUGCAUCGCUGGAGUGCGGCAGAGGGGGAUGGAAUUCCGCGUGUAGCAGUGAAAUGCGUAGAUAUGCGGAGGAAUACCGAUGGCGAAGGCAGCCCCCUGGGCCAAUACUGACGCUCAUGCACGAAAGCGUGGGGAGCAAACAGG